UUAGGGACGGCCCCGGCAGAGGGGAUUUCUGAACUGAAUGCUGGUUAGUGGUGAAGUCAGCAGCGUUCAUGUGAAUGGGGUAGCAGUGGCAUUUCCAAGCCAUUCGGUAUGUUAAUGCACAACGUGAAAAAGCAGCCGGCGCAAGGAAAAAGGAAAUGACAAUCAGAUGAAUGAAACAUGCGAUGAUGAACAUUAGUCUUUCUGCAUUUGCAGCGGCGUCGUAGUUUCAUUUUGUGGACCUGAGCUCAUUUUUUUCAUGCCGUUCUUUCUUUCUUUUCUUUUUUUUCUGGACACAGAAACAGAUUGUCCGCUAUUAGCGGUGAUGGAGCACGGAGGAAGAUUGCAGCGAAGUCAAACAAAAGUGCCUCAGAUGAUGAUUCCUGAAACAGGACAGACUUGCUCAUCCUCCGCCGUCAUAACACCGACAGAGACUCGCUAUGGAUCAGAGUCCGGUUUUUACCCUGAAUCACACGCGAGGGCAAAGGCGGACAAUACAGUAGCACCAGGAAGUCUGCAGGGGAUGUGUGAUGGCGGACUGUGCGCCCCUCUUAAAUUAAAGACAAAGGGACACAGGCUGAGACUGUGGUAGACACCCUUAGAGUCCCCCAGGCUCCUAUCAGCUUCGUCGGCAGAUGAGCCAGAUAAAGAUGUGUGUGCUCUGGAGGAAAUGAACUCUGGUGACCCGUAGCCUUGUAAACAGCUGGAGAAGAGCCCCAACUCUCUCUCAUGCUUUCUUUAAUGUCAUGUCUUCCCUCCCUCACUCACUCCCGUUGGCUGUCUUGUUCUGCUCACUCUUCCAGUCCAAGGUUAUUCUUUUUCCCCAGUUCUUAUUCUCUUUAUCACUCUCUCUCUCUCUUCGAGUCUUUCUUUUCUCUGUCACCCCUGCCGUUGUCCAGCGUGAUCCCGAGCCAGAGUAAUCAGUCCCGCCUUUGAUUACGCCACUCUGCCUUUGCGAGGAAUGCAUUGAGGGGAACUUUAUCAGCAUUGUAUAACAUCAGCACUUUCUCUCUGGCCUUGAGAUAAUUGAAGGUGGUACUCCAGGAAGCCCUGAAAGAGCCCUUGUCUGGGCCGGGGGAGGCCGAGCGCAGGAGGGGUGGGGGGCUGGGCGUGAGAGCAGGAAACCCUUCUUGGCGUGGAAUGGAAUGUUUCAAAAGAACGUGUUCGGAACUUCCAGGACGAGGGCGUCUGCCGCUGCGCCUCUGGUCACUCUCGUUCGCUAGAAGCGCUGGCUCAGGAGAGGGGGACGGAAAAGGGAAGCGAUGGCUCUCCUCUCCUUUCACACUCUCUCUCUCUCUCUCUCUCUCACUGGUGGGCCAGCCCACUCACAGGAUAUACGCAAGGGGGAAGCGUGGACCAGAGCGGAUGGGGUCACUGUGGCGCAAGGCGGGGGUCCCGCAUCCUGAGUUUAUAGGGACAACCAGAGGCGGCAGGCUGGGGGAACGAGGGUCCUGGGCGUGUGUCAGUGUGAGCGUGAGCAGGGAGUGUGUGGGCAGCUGAGGAGGAGAGAAAAGACGUGGGUGUUGAGGGGGCGAGGACAGAAGAAUGCUAGAGAGAGAGAGAGAGAGAGUGGGAAAGCAACAAUCUCCGCUGCUUUUCAUCUGACAACUUUUAAAGGGCCAGCCAAGGGGUGGAGAAGGAGCCGGUCAGGCUCCUUUUACCGUAUCUCACGGUGUCCCACCUAGCAUCCACCCAGACCCCUGCAAAUGGGACAGGAAAGGCAUAACAUCGUACUUAUUAGCAGAUUGAUUUAUUGCUCACUAAAGGAAAGGCAUCCUUAUUGUUCCUUAGGGUCAGGUUUCUUUAUGUUCAUUAAUUGAAACUGGUCUUGAAACAAGUAGAAUAGUGUUUAGCAAUGUUCCUAAAAAAGAAUUUUGUUUUUGCUAUAUUUAAGAAAUAAGUUUUUUUUUAAAGAAAUUAAUACAUUUAUUCAGCAAGAACACUUUAAAAAUUGAUCAAAAGUUUAAGUAAAGACAUCUAUAAUUGUACAAAAGAUUUCUAAUACCAAAAAAUGCUGUUCUUUUCAAAAAUUAAGCUGAAAAUAAUGACAACCUGCAGUUCAGUAAGUGAGUCAGAUGUUGAUUCAGUAGCCGCUCUGAUCAAGUCAGUUCAGCAUGAUAUGUCAUACCGAUUCAAACCAGGGGCCAAUUAGAUAAACUUAGCCUCUGUGUUAACACUGUGUCAUAAGAACUAUCUUACCAACUAGCAGUUAGCCAAGGGGUAAUCAGUCUUAUUUUUCACGUUCAAAUUAUAGACCACCAUUCUUAAAAAAAAAAAAAAUAGAUGAGUAACUUGUAAGUCUAGUCUAAGCAUUUAUGAAACCAGCUUAUAAGAUUCAUUCGUUCAGGAAUCAGACUACACUGUACUCUGUAUAUUUUUGGUUUUAUCGGACUUGUGUUAUAUGUUGUUUUUGUAAAAACAUUUCUUGACAUUAUUUUGCAAUACACACUCUUUCUAUCAAAUCACAUUCAGUACAGUGCAGUUUUGUGAUUCAGUCCAAGAACAGAAGUUUACAAGUACUUCCAUCGCAUACUUAAAUAAAUCAGUCACAUGAUAGAUUUCCUCAACCAUCAUGUUUCAUAUUAGCCCCUCAGUCAGACUGAAGUGAAAAAUGAAGAUAGCCUGCACGUAUGCAGAAAGGUCCCGUUGUUCUGUGAGGCAUCUCCAACAGUCACAAAGUGUCAGGCAAUUAUAACCGCAGUUGUAAGGCUAAUCAUUAAUAGACUGUUCGUUUCCUCAAUAGGAAUGUUUCACAUUCCUGGAUCAGGGUCAGAUUCGCCUCCACUCACCGGCUCAAUCCCUCAUUGUCUUGUCAGCUACAGUAUGUCAAACAGAUGGUUGGCAUGGUUACAAGGUAUCUGGGUGCACGGUCUUGUGCCUUUUUAAAAGCUGCGUCUGCAUGCUGGUGAAGUGAUGGAGGAGGAGCGUGUGAAUGCAUGUGGCAGAAUAUAACACAAGCAUGCAGUGCUAUCUGCAGCCGAUAAGACGCAUGAAGUCAUGCCUCGGUGGCAUGACAAUGACAUCACAGCUGUGUCCCUGCAUUUUUUUUCUUCCGCCUGCCGACAGCCACCUAAUAUAGCCAUCCAGUGCCCAGGACCAGACUGGCAGAGACCGCCAUGGCGGGACCCGGCAGGCAUGCACACAAGCCACGAAACUGUGCUCGAGGAGACGCGAGUGGGAGGUGGCACCACGUCACCCUGACGUCUCUCAACCGAAUUCCAGUGUGGCUAAAGCGAGCCGAGCACACUCAUGUGAUUUCAGCUCAUUCACACACAUGAGGGCACACACAUAUCUGCUGCCUCUGUCACCAUUAGAUCCACCGUGUGCCUUAGGAUUGAUGUAGUCACCUGAUGUUGGCAGCUGCUGUACCCGUUGUGCAAACCACCCUGGAUGAGUCUGAUUACAGCAUGGGUCACUUUUGACCUGCUGAGAUGGAGCUGCUUGUUUUGCAGGUGAUGCUUAAUGCUUAUUCGUGCAUAGAAAAAGAGGAAAACAGUAUUCUCUUUGCAGUGAAACAACCGUGUCAGUGUUUCUUUGAGAUUAAUUUAGUUUUUUAAAGUGGGAAUUGUAGGUUGUUUUGGAGCAAUUAGUUACAAAAUUGAUUGGGCCAUGAGCCAUUGGGCUCAUGAAUAAUGCCGGUCUUGCAUUCCUUCUAAAUCUGUCUUGACCCCUGUCUUGCGUCAGGUCGUAGUUUAUCUGGUUCCAGUGAGGUUGCUGAGGGCAAUUUUGGCAGGCUGGACGAGUCUUUCAUCUUUACAUUUAUGGUGGUGUUGGCAGCUAUAGCUCACACCUUUUACACCACAGCAAUGUGAAGCUAUUUCUGUGUUCUGGUAUGGAGCUGUCGUUGUUGUCAUCAUUAUGUGCUUAUAGAUAGAAGCCCCCCAACUCAAAUGUAUGUAAUGCUUAAAAUUAUAAAAUUUUAAAUAUAUUUUUUAAAUGGUUGGCACUUUGGUUUAAAAUUAAUCUUGGUUUAUUUGUAUUUUUGAUUCAGUAUUAGCUUAGUAUUAGUCAUUGUGUUUUGUUUUUUUUUUGGUUCAUUUCUACAAUAGCAGAAAGAAAUAGAGAAAAAGAAUGAAUCAUAAAGAGAGUUACUUUUCAAAGCUUCAAACUACACUGUAUUAAAUAUAAAUAUGAAUAAAAUGACAGAAUUUUAUGGUUCAGGAUCACUUAUUGUUUUAUCAAGUCAUUUUUAUUAUUUGAUAUUUAAACUUCAACAAAAAAAAAUGUUCAAGAAAUGUUAAAUAGUUUAGUUUAUCUAAUAUCUAAGGUGGCAUUUAAGAUUAGGAACACCAUUUUCAAAUUCCUCUUCCAAAUGAAACAACUGGGAAGCACAUGGUUGCAACAACAAUCGCCCCUGCUCGCCCUGUGGUUACACUGUAAUGUUCCUGAGUCAUAAGCUCUCAACCCACUGACAACAAAAUGUACGAGAGUGGGUUAAAUCGUUUGCAAAAAAAAAAGUAAAAACGGCAAAGCGGCAUGUUGACGCGUUACGACGUGUGAUUCAUCGUCACCCUCCCUUCUAUUGGAACACAUGCUGUCUGUACUGUGGUCAAGCUCAGUUUCACCAUACAGACUGACACAGCGGGAGCUUGAACACAUUCUGAAUGUUGUGUACAGAUUGCUGGAAAGACGUGGAGAACAUAGGAGGGAGAUACAUAGACUAAAGGCAAAUGAUUUAUACAACU